UACGUAGGGUGCGAGCGUUGUCCGGAAUUAUUGGGCGUAAAGAGCUCGUAGGCGGUCUGUCGCGUCGAUCGUGAAAACUUGGGGCUUAACCCUGAGCUUGCGGUCGAUACGGGCAUGACUGGAGUUCGGCAGGGGAGACUGGAAUUCCUGGCGUAGCGGUGAAAUGCGCAGAUAUCAGGAGGAACACCGGUGGCGAAGGCGGGUCUCUGGGCCGAUACUGACGCUGAGGAGCGAAAGCCAGGGGAGCAAACGGG
rnacentral:rRNA from 1 species